rnacentral:rRNA from 1 species
AGAGCGAACGCUGGCGGCAGGCUUAACACAUGCAAGUCGAGCGGGCGUAGCAAUACGUCAGCGGCAGACGGGUGAGUAACGCGUGGGAACGUACCUUUUGGUUCGGAACAACCCAGGGAAACUUGGGCUAAUACCGGAUAAGCCCUUACGGGGAAAGAUUUAUCGCCGAAAGAUCGGCCCGCGUCUGAUUAGCUAGUUGGUGGGGUAAUGGCCCACCAAGGCGACGAUCAGUAGCUGGUCUGAGAGGAUGAUCAGCCACAUUGGGACUGAGACACGGCCCAAACUCCUACGGGAGGCAGCAGUGGGGAAUAUUGGACAAUGGGCGCAAGCCUGAUCCAGCCAUGCCGCGUGAGUGAUGAAGGCCCUAGGGUUGUAAAGGCUCUUUUGUGCGGGAAGAUAAUGACGGUACCGCAAGAAUAAGCCCCGGCUAACUUCGUGCCAGCAGCCGC